UUGAUUCUAAGUGUUGGCAGCAAUUUUGGAAAAACAAAGAGUGUUCACAAGAUGUCAUGUGUGAUGUCUUAACAUGAGAUAUCCUAUGUACCUGCUGGAGUUAAAGAACAUGUGCAAGCAGGAAAUGUCAUGUGUGAUGUCUUAACAUGAGAUAUCCUAUGUACCUGCUGGAGUUAAAGAACAUGUGCAAGCAGGAUUGUUUCAGAAUGCCACAUACAAUGACAAGGCUU
rnacentral:lncRNA from 1 species